rnacentral:lncRNA from 1 species
AUUUUGUUACUGCUUUGAUAAGAAAGGAGAGGGAACAAAGAUGGUUCAAAGGUGUGGAGCCCAGGGAGACAGAUCCACAAAUCACUGAGAAAGGUGAGCCUGGAGAGGCAGCAUCGGACAAGCACCAUGUGGCAUUUGUCCAGAAGUUGAGGUCCAGCAUGAAAUGCAGAAGAACCUGGGCUAUUUCCUGGCUUUUAAAAAUGAUUCUUGUGCUACGGGUGAUCCUACUUGUCUCUAUAUCUGGGAUCUUUGGAAAGGCCCUGGGUAUAUUGAAAUCUACCCGAAGCAUUCUUUAUCUUUGAAGGCAACUCAGGUGCUCUCAUGGGUAUUUCCAUUUUCACUGUAUCUAUUGUUUCCAUUUCAUCAUCUGGAUCUCGAACUUCUCAGAGAUAGAACCUU